UAUUUUUUGCAUUGCAUAUCUCUUAAUAUAAUUGAUCUUUGUUGCUUGAUGUUUGAUGCAUAAUGGUGGGAUAAAUAAUUGUUAGGAAACCCGACUCACUGAGCAAAAUAGUUGCUCAUUAGACUCUUUGUUUUGCAGGUAACCCGUAAUAGGUUCCAUUUGGGAUCGGAGGAGCACAAAGCUGUUGGUGUAGAUUUGCUACCUUUUGCAAACAUGUACGUUUUGUAAUAUGUAAGAUAUGGUUUUGAAUAUCGGCUGAGCAUGUAUAAAGUUUUGAUGUGGUUGAACUUAAAGGAUAUAUGAAUAAGAAAAAGUUUGUGAAAUGCUUGGAUUCCAUAUAUGAUACUAGUUCUAGUCCGGGACGAAUUAACUAAUGGUUUCAAACUCGGGUUGCAAAGCCUUAACUUGGAAUCGCUAGGAAACCCAUUCUUGGACAUAUGAUCUUGGAAUUUCGGAUCUGAUCCGGGAACCUCGGGUCAAAUGUUUGGACACGUGGUAGUAGUAUCUUCGAUCUGGUUAGAGUUCUUUAGUUCUUUGUGCAUGUUCUUGUUUGAUUGGUGCAUGGCAAACUAAUUAACUUUUACUUAUUCCAGAUCGGGGGUGUUACAUGGACCCAUAAGUUUUCCAGCUAUAUUUGUGGGGUAAUGUUGGAUUUAGCAGCUUUGUUCAGUCCAUUAAAUUGAAAUCAUGUAUUAAGGGAAUAACAGUUACACACUUCGUGGUUGUGUUCAUGUGAUUUUAAUAUGGAUUUAUGAGUCCAUCCCUAGUUUAAAAAAUAAAUAUGGGAAUCAUAUAGAAGGAGGUGAUGUUCCUCUUUUGUCAUGGCCGUGAUCUUGUACUCAUAUCAAUUUCUCAGACUUAUGUGCACAAGAAAAGAAAAAGUAUUAGAAGGUAUGAUUUUAACUAGUGUAUGAUUUUACAACUCAAUGUCUGAUUUUUUUAAAAAAAAUUUUGUACAUUACAAUGCAGGUUCGUGUAUGACAUAUGAUUGUAAAGACAUUGGAAGAUAUAUAUCCGAAAUGGGUCGAGGUUGAACCAUAUACUGAUUUGAUAACAUGAUAGUUGACAUCCUCAAUGAUCAGCUAAACGAUAAGUUUUGGGAUGUAGUGCCGCGUACAAAGUGCAAGAAGAGAAAAACUCAUGUCAGCACAUAGAAUGUUUCCAAUACAAUGGAUGCGAGCCUCUCCACCAAAUGAAAGAAAGAGAAAGAAACUGCUCCAUAAAUAGUAUGUAGCAAGCCUUAUUAAACAUGUUGUUCAUUUUGUUAGUGGUUAAAUUGUUUUGGUGUGUGAAUAUUGAAGGAACACAUCAUGAUUAUAAGCUACUGUGGGGAUUGGCGUUAAAUGUUUGUCUCAGUUUUGCAAUUCCUAGUAGCAAUGAGUUGUAAUGUUUUAUACAUACAAUUUUCUGUAAUCGAUAUGCAACUACUUGAAUGAUUGUAAUCGCCAUAUAGUUACAAAUACUAUUUAAAUUUAUAUGAAUUUAAUUGUUCAUAUGCACUUAAUAAAUAAUAAACCAAAAAAAUAACAGCUAUAGCUUGAGUAAAUUUGAGUAGCACUAUUUUAUUUUUUAGUAUCUCGUGUUUUAGUAAUUAAGUUACUUCUAUUACAUGGUUGUUUAAGGAAUAUAUUAGGGGUGUUUAGGGUUAGGUGGCCACUAUUUUGGCACUAAUUUGUCACUAAUUUGUCACAGAAAUAGCGAUAACGUAGUUGCCAUAUAGUUUCAAUGUAUUUGCUAUUGUAUAAUAUCACUUUUUCAAAUGUAAUAUUGUUUAAUAUCAUUACUAGUAAGUUAAUGAACAAAAUAAAAUCUAUAUUGUAAAUACGUUUGAGACAUUUUAAAAAACAAUUACAUAUCAACACCUGACAUUACUAAUUUCAGAAUAAUAUAGAAGCAAAUAUUAUACUAUUUUAACCAUGUAGGAUUAUAUAGCACGGCGAUAUAUGGUGACUCCUAUAUAAAAUGUUUUUUUUCUUAGUCGUCCUUAAUCAACCCAAUCUCGAAUAAGAUUAUCUUUACACAUUAUGACAUAUGUUUAUCUUUUAUAUAAGAAAAAUUGCAAAUUAAUAGGUAUGUUAUUAACCAUAAUUAAGUAGCAAAUUUUCAAAUUAAUAUGAUAUUUAUUAUAAUUUGUAACCAAUUUGUAACCAUAUAUUGGAAAUAGUUGCUUUAUAGUCUCACAAUUUGGCUCCAAAAAAUUUACCCCUAAAUUUUGUCUAAUUUUCACAUUAACCCGCCUAAUGUUUCAGAACAAACAAUUUACCCACCAUAAUACGACCACAUUACACAUUUAUAUUAAAAAGCCCUUAAGCAUCAUCCCUUUCUUCUUGACCUAAUCUCACUCCUCACAGAGUUAAAUUGAUGUCUGCGAUCGGUAGAUCACUAAAAGUUUGCGCAGGUGGUUGUGGCACGAGUCACGGUAGUGGUCACGUUGGGAGUCAAUCUGGUGGCGUUAAUAGCUCUUUCGGAAGAAGUUACUCUGCCUCGAACCCAAGUACUUCUAAUUCAAGAGAUUUAGUGUCUCUCCCUGUACAAUACACACAUACUCAAACUUCUAUCCUAGAGAAUUCACCGACGCCGGAGCCUCAGCGUCAUCCACCGCACUUCCCUGGUUCCUCACCGACCAGUGAUGAUUCUUCUUUUCCAACGGAACACAAUCCUCAUCUAACGCCGAAUCAAGACCUACGUCUUCCACCACCUCAAAAUCCAGUGACUUUUGAUGAUUUUCUGGCAAUUCCUAGACGUGAGAACUAUCUUCCAGUCUUAUCACUGGUUACAAGAGACGAGUACUACUUGGUUUGAUCGUUAUGGUGGGAAGCUGGCUUGAAAUAUAUCAAAGCUCUUGAAACCCAAAUUUAACUCUCCUUAUUACUGCUGGUCAGAAACGCCCCCUAAAUUUGAACGUCGAUAUUUUGAAGACUUUUCGCAAGGACAUCAUUGGGAUAGCUCGAUCACUACACUUGUACAAGAUGAGGUUGAUAUCAUCUGUUUAAAUCGGAUGAAAGGAAUUGUGUGUCAAGAAAAAGAGGAAAGGCAUACGACCACUUUGGAUUGGAAAUACAUUAUUGAAAAAUAUGUGCUCCUACUGGGCCACUGAUGCUGCCAAUAAAAAGAGUAAAACUGCAUCAAAAUGUCGGAACUUUGACCGUAGUGGACUUGUUCCUUUCAAGAACUUUGCAGGACAAAUGUCCUUUUUAUGGGUUCAACAAAAUAUGGAGGAAGAAUUGGGAAGACAUGUGAGUAUUGGAGAAGUGUUUAUAACGACACAUACAAAGGCUGACGGUACAUGUAGUGAUCUAAAGGCUCAGCAGAUCGCCCAAGCUUAUAAAAAAACUAGACAAGAAAUUGUCCCAGGUUGAACAACGCUUUUUUGAGAAUUGUGGUGGUAGUUCUUAUAUUGCCGAGCUUGCCCAAAUGAAAUGAACUAGAUAUUUCUUGAGGUAAACCAUUUCACAAUUUUAAAAGUAUAA